GGAAUAAAUAUGGACGUCCUUUGGACGUCCGACGUUGGACGUCCUUCGGACGGAAUAAAUAUGGACGUCCUUUGGACGUCCGACGUUGAACGUCCUUUGGACGUCCAUACUGGACGAAAUACGGACGUUUUAUGAACGCUUAUAUAUUAUAUUGGACACAUUAUACCAAUUACGGGAUCAAAUAGCAAAAUAAUUCAAUAAAAUAUUAACUUACGCGUUAACUUUACGUUAAUGAAAUACAGUCAAACCUGUCAGUAACGGCCACUAAAAUGAAAGAACUAUUGGCCGAUAUAGAAAGGUGGCCGUUAUUGCCAGUUUUUGUAGUCUAGAUAUACAGUAAAACUUGUGUUACUGGCCACCUGAUAAAAUCCGCCACCUGUACUAACGGCCGGUUUAAAUAUUCCCCAAACCAAUUAUAUCUGGACUACAAAAACUGGCAAUACCGGUCACCUUUCUAUAUCGGCCAAUAGCUUUUUCAUUUUUAGUGGCCGUUACUGACAGGUUUUACUGUAAUUGGUUUGGGGAAUUUUUAAACUGACCGUUAGUACAGGUGGCCGGUGUUUGCAGGGGGCCGGUAACACAGGUUUUACUGUAGUUUAAAUCGAAAAGAUUAAAUCUUAAUUCAAAAUUGUAUAUACAAUUAUUACAAUUAUAAACAAACUAUAUAGUUUAAUAUCCAAAACAUGUUUUUGAUUUUAUGUAAUGUAAUGAAAAUCUUAUUUGUAAAUUAUUGGUUACAAUGUUUAACAAUAGGAAAUAUUCAAGAAUAAAUAAAAUAAAAGUUUAAUCCUAACAACACAAAACAUUCCAGGAAUAUAGGUACUACCGUUCUAUUCCGUGAACAUCUAUCUGAUUAAAUUAUGGGUGGAAAGUUACCACAAGAUAUUCUAUGAACAUAGUACAAUGUCUUCCUGGAGGGGUAAAAUUUUCCAUUACAAGAUUUUAAGAGAGGCCAUUUACUGUUCAAUUUGCGUUCAUUUUCAAAUUUGCCGCGCGAGUAUCUAUGUAGCGUCGCGUGGUCAUUGGUCAUCACAUUUCAUUUUCAUAAGAUAACCGAUAACCUAAAAAUUUAGUAAAAAUCAUGUAAAAAUUUUGAUUGGAAAAAAAUGCAUCGAUAAGGGGGUGUGGGAAAUGGAAAUUAGUGGCUUUUCUGCUGUACUGUCUGCUAGUCCUAGUCAAAUCACACAACACUUUUUUCUAUGCUGCUAGUUUUUGCUCUGGGCUCUGGCUGGAUCUCUUGUUUAAACAAUUUUAAUCAGCUGAAAGUGGCCUACAAAAAAAAACCAAGAAGGAAAUGUAUAGCCUUGUGGCUAUGAAAGGCAAAAGAGAGAUAUAAAAAGUGUAUUGGCUAGUUGGAAGAAAGUCCUCAUUGUCCAUGCAUAAUAAGUUAUUACUUUAUCAACAAAUAUCAAGAAGAUAGCAGGGUCAUGAGCAACAACUUCAUAAGUUCAAGAAUAUCGAGGAAAUCCAGCUCCUCGAUACUACUGGGCAAACUAGAAGAUUGAAGAGGACAAAGCCUUUUGAACUAGUUUGAGUGAUAGGUGAUAGUGAAAAACGGAGUAUAGUGCUUGUGUGCUGUGCCUGUGUAUGUUAGAAUAGUGCACGAUCUUGUUAGAUUAGAUAAAAGACGCUAUGGGGUAAGCUCUUCAUUUUAAGAAACAGUAGUAAUUUAGGUUAAAUUAAAAUUGCUCAUUGGUCAGUUAUGACCAGAUUGUUUUUUUAUGUUUGGCAAAAAGGACUUAAGUCAGAAUUGCACAUUGAUAAUGUUUUGAUGAUUUCUGUACCAGAAAAAAACUGUUGUAGAUGUAAACUGUAUGUACAGUAGAAUCUACUACAGUACUGUAGAAAUCAUCAAAACAUUAUCGAUGUGCAAUUCUGACUUAAGCCCUUUUUCCCAAACAUCAGAGAAUUGUAAUGUACAAUAAUUCUCCUAUCUGCUUUUUCAUGAAUUUUGUAGGAGAUGAAAAACCAUUUUUAGGAUCAUCUGCUUUCACAUGUAAAUUUUGACAUGUUUUGUAGUAAAUAGAUAGUUGAAUUUACUACAAAACAUGUCAAAAAAUAUAUGAAAACAGGAGGUGACUAUAAAAAAAGUUUUUAGUCUCUUACAAAACUCAUGAAAAACAAAUCGGAGGUAUGUCACAUUAGUGACUAUAUCCAGGGAAUGUCUAAAAAAUAUACUUUGAUGUCCCAAGAACCAAAUAUAACCUACAGUCCAUCUAAUUUACUUACUGUUGCAGGUCAUUAUCUACGCCAGAGAUCUAAGUUGACAUAGUUGCCAAAGUAUAAAAAGAUCCUGAAUCCAUUUUAAAUCAAAUAUAUCACAUAAUUAUUGUAAACGUGGAUUAUACAACAAAACAAAUUAAUAUUCAAUGUAAAUAAGUAAAAACUUAAGAAAUAGAGAACAAGAAUUAAGUUAUAAUCUUUUAAGAUUUGCAGUGCAAGAGUUUUUGCACUGCAUUGUUAAUAAUUAAAAAACGGCUCCGAACUCUUGGCAAAAAGCUG